rnacentral:rRNA from 1 species
UGCAGUCGAACGAUGAAGCCGGAGCUUGCUCUGGUGGAUUAGUGGCGAACGGGUGAGUAACACGUGAGUAACCUGCCCUUGACUCUGGGAUAAGCGUUGGAAACGACGUCUAAUACCGGAUACGAGCUGAGACCGCAUGGUCAUUAGCUGGAAAGAAUUUCGGUCAAGGAUGGACUCGCGGCCUAUCAGUUAGUUGGUGAGGUAACGGCUCACCAAGACGACGACGGGUAGCCGGCCUGAGAGGGUGACCGGCCACACUGGGACUGAGACACGGCCCAGACUCCUACGGGAGGCAGCAGUGGGGAAUAUUGCACAAUGGGCGCAAGCCUGAUGCAGCAACGCCGCGUGAGGGACGACGGCCUUCGGGUUGUAAACCUCUUUUAGCAGGGAAGAAGCGAAAGUGACGGUACCUGCAGAAAAAGCACCGGCUAACUACGUGCCAGCAGCCGCGGUAAUACGUAGGGUGCAAGCGUUGUCCGGAAUUAUUGGGCGUAAAGAGCUCGUAGGCGGUUUGUCGCGUCUGCUGUGAAAACGCGAGGCUCAACCUCGCGCCUGCAGUGGGUACGGGCAAACUAGAGUGCGGUAGGGGAGAUUGGAAUUCCUGGUGUAGCGGUGGAAUGCGC